UACGAAGGGGGCUAGCGUUGCUCGGAAUCACUGGGCGUAAAGGGUGCGUAGGCGGGUCUUUUAAGUCAGGGGUGAAAUCCUGGAGCUCAACUCCAGAACUGCCUUCGAUACUGGCGAUCUAGAGUCCGGAAGAGGUGAGUGGAACUCCUAGUGUAGAGGUGGAAUUCGUAGAUAUUAGGAAGAACACCAGUGGCGAAGGCGGCUCACUGGUCCGGUACUGACGCUGAGGUGCGGAAGCGUGGGGAGCAAACAGG
rnacentral:rRNA from 1 species